rnacentral:rRNA from 1 species
AGACCCGAAACCCGGUGAUCUAGCCAUGGGCAGGUUGAAGGUUGGGUAACACUAACUGGAGGACCGAACCGACUAAUGUUGAAAAAUUAGCGGAUGACCUGUGGCUGGGGGUGAAAGGCCAAUCAAACCGGGAGAUAGCUGGUUCUCCCCGAAAGCUAUUUAGGUAGCGCCUCGUGAAUUCAUCUCCGGGGGUAGAGCACUGUUUCGGCUAGGGGGCCAUCCCGGCUUACCAACCCGAUGCAAACUGCGAAUACCGGAGAAUGUUAUCACGGGAGACACACGGCGGGUGCUAACGUCCGUCGUGAAGAGGGAAACAACCCAGACCGCCAGCUAAGGUCCCAAAGUCAUGGUUAAGUGGGAAACGAUGUGGGAAGGCCCAGACAGCCAGGAUGUUGGCUUAGAAGCAGCCAUCAUUUAAAGAAAGCGUAAUAGCUCACUGGUCGAGUCGGCCUGCGCGGAAGAUGUAACGGGGCUAAACCAUGCACCGAAGCUGCGGCAGCGACGCUUAUGCGUUGUUGGGUAGGGGAGCGUUCUGUAAGCCUGUGAAGGUGGCCUGUGAGGGUUGCUGGAGGUAUCAGAAGUGCGAAUGCUGACAUAAGUAACGAUAAAGCGGGUGAAAAGCCCGCUCGCCGGAAGACCAAGGGUUCCUGUCCAACGUUAAUCGGGGCAGGGUGAGUCGACCCCUAAGGCGAGGCCGAAAGGCGUAGUCGAUGGGAAACGGGUUAAUAUUCCCGUACUUGGUGUUACUGCGAAGGGGGGACGGAGAAGGCUAUGUUGGCCGGGCGACGGUUGUCCCGGUUUAAGCGUGUAGGUGUGUGUUCCAGGUAAAUCCGGUUCACUUUAACACUGAGGCGUGACGACGAGGCACUACGGUGCUGAAGCAACAAAUGCCCUGCUUCCAGGAAAAGCCUCUAAGCAUCAGGUAACAUCAAAUCGUACCCCAAACCGACACAGGUGGUCAGGUAGAGAAUACCAAGGCGCUUGAGAGAACUCGGGUGAAGGAACUAGGCAAAAUGGUGCCGUAACUUCGGGAGAAGGCACGCUGACAUGUAGGUGAAGUGAUUUACUCA